CUUACCUUCUAAUUCUAUAGACUAUUAAAAAAAAACCCACACACAACUCGGAACUAUUUCUAAUUCACUUAGACUACUGAUAUGCAAACCUAAAUACAAAAAAAAAUAUUAUAAAAUAGUUAUUGAAAGAUUCAUAACACUUUGAAAGGAUAAUUCAGACACGUGUUACACGGGGAGCAUGUUUGUUUACAAACAAUAAUGUCACGUGAUCGCGCACUGACCUCGCAUGCUGCAUCGCCC
rnacentral:lncRNA from 1 species